rnacentral:misc_RNA from 1 species
CGAAAGCCUGACGGAGCAACGCCGCGUGAGGGAUGAAGGCCUCUGGGCUGUAAACUUCUUUUCUCAAGGAAGAAGAUCUGACGGUACUUGAGGAAUAAGCCACGGCUAAUUCCGUGCCAGCAGCCGCGGUAAUACGGGAGUGGCAAGCGUUAUCCGGAAUUAUUGGGCGUAAAGCGUCCGCAGGCGGCCCUUCAAGUCUGCUGUUAAAACGUGGAGCUCAACUCCAUCAUGGCAGUGGAAACUGUUGGGCUUGAGUGUGGUAGGGGCAGAGGGAAUUCCCGGUGUAGCGGUGAAAUGCGUAGAUAUCGGGAAGAACACCAGUGGCGAAGGCGCUCUGCUGGGCCAUAACUGACGCUCAUGGACGAAAGCCAGGGGAGCGAAAGGGAUUAGAUACCCCUGUAGUCCUGGCCGUAAACGAUGAACACUAGGUGUCGGGGGAAUCGACCCCCUCGGUGCCGUAGCCAACGCGUUAAGUGUUCCGCCUGGGGAGUACGCACGCAAGUGUGAAACUCAAAGGAAUUGACGGGGGCCCGCACAAGCGGUGGAGUAUGUGGUUUAAUUCGAUGCAACGCGAAGAACCUUACCAGGGCUUGACAUCCUGCAAACCUCUGAGAAAUUGGAGGGUGCCUUCGGGAAUGCAGUGACAGGUGGUGCAUGGCUGUCGUCAGCUCGUGUCGUGAGAUGUUGGGUUAAGUCCCGCAACGAGCGCAACCCACGUCUUUAGUUGCCAGCAUUCAGUUGGGCACUCUAGAGAGACCGCCGGUGAUAAACCGGAGGAAGGUGUGGAUGACGUCAAGUCAUCAUGCCCCUUACGUCCUGGGCUACACACGUACUACAAUGCUACGGACAAAGAGCAGCGAGCUCGCAAGGGUCAGCAAAUCUCACAAACCGUGGCUCAGUUCAGAUCGUAGGCUGCAACUCGCCUACGUGAAGCAGGAAUCGCUAGUAAUCGCAGGUCAGCAUACUGCGGUGAAUACGUUCCCGGGCCUUGUACACACCGCCCGUCACACCAUGGAAGUUGGCCAUGCCCGAAGCCGUUACUCCAACCCUCGUGGAGGAGGAUGUCGAAGGUGGGGCUGAUGACUGGGGUGAAGUCGUAACAAGGUAGCCGUACCGGAAGGUGCGGCUGGAUCACCUCCUAACAGGGAGACAACACAUGAUUUUGAUGCCUGGGCAGUUUGUCCCUAGGCCGAAAUCCUGUCACCCUAGGUCGAUCGGUAUCUCAGCAGCGCAGUUGAAGGACAAGAUCUUGCUCUUUAACUGCAGUGUUUAGCUCCUAAGCUUUUAUCUAGGUUACGCCCCACGAGGGUUCUCCUGGGCCAUUAGCUCAGGUGGUUAGAGCGCACCCCUGAUAAGGGUGAGGUCCCUGGUUCAAAUCCAGGAUGGCCCAUUCGGUGUUGGGGGUUUAGCUCAGUUGGUAGAGCGCCUGCUUUGCAAGUAGGAUGUCAGCGGUUCGAGUCCGCUAACCUCCACUGACCAAACCCGACCCUGUAGCUGCCGCUACAGGAAAUACCUAAAGUUAAGCGUGAUCUAGGUGGUCCGAGCUGAAACGUGGAGAAUCUGACCCCAGCUUCCUGUCAUCCUGUGAUUAAGGCAUCGCAGUUGACAAGAUGCUGGGCUCAGCAGAGCUAGAGAUAGCUCAGCUGAACUUCAGCAGAACCUUGACAACUGCAUAGGUAAGUCUGGAAAGAACAAAGCAUCUCAUAGAUGCGUCACUACUCUUGACUGCUCUGUAAAAUGAGCAAUGUACGAGAAGUGGCGCCUAAUUCUUGAGCAAGAGUUACAAGACCCACGCAACUUGAUACCGGUUGCAUCGAGUAACCGUAAAUAGUGCCACGCUACGGAUCGGCACAGCUGAAUCCGUUGAAGCGAUGGCGUGGAGUUCCAAACUUGG